rnacentral:misc_RNA from 1 species
UCCCCGUUGCCGGGGCAGUCCAGGUAGAAAAAUACAACUACCUGCAAGGGUUGCGCUCGUUAAUGGACUUAACCAAACAUCUCACGACACGAGCUGACGACGGCCAUGCAUCAUCUGUCACAGGGUUCCAAAAGGCACACGCUGCUUUCGCAGUGCUUCCCUGGAUGUCAAGCCCUGGUAAGGUUCUUCGUUUAUCAUCGAAUUAAAGAGCACGAUCCACCACUUGUGCGGACCCCCGUCAAUUCCUUUAUGUUUUAGUCUUGCGACCGUACUCCACAGGCGGGAUACUUAACGCGUUAGCUUCGCUACUGAAGGGGUCGAUACCUCCAACAGCUAGUAUCCAUCGUUUACAGCGUGGACUAC